rnacentral:lncRNA from 1 species
UAUUAGUCCAAUCUCCGGGUUGAGAAGGUGGGACGUACUGGCCACUGCUCGAAUCCCAGGAGAACCUUCUGGAACCCUUGCGACGUCAAAGGCAGCCUUAAAGGAAAACUGUACCCACCAGUUGGCCGUGCGGCCGUGCAUUCUUUCCUUUCUUCAUUGGGGGGCAAGAGGGAGAGAACAGUGCACUCUGGGAGGUGUAGUCCCUGGACCGGGGCCAAAAGGAAUGCCACGUUGACCCAUCACCUUGGCUGCAGAUGGCCUCCCUCCUGUGAUCAGACUCUGAGCAUCUCACCUGAUACAUGCUUCAUGCUGACACUCAGGCCCAGACUUUGGUCCCACACUGAGUCCCAACUUUGACCUCAGCCUGAGACACAACCUGGUUAUUGUCCUGGUAGAGACAGUUCCCCGAAUCCAGCCUCUGCCCAAACCCUCCUCCUAGACAUGGCUGAGCCCUAAUUUUGAUACAAAAUACUUGAAUUCAUCUUCAGAUUCAGUUCUGAUCCUAUACUGAACUAACUGAACACUACCAGGGAUCUGACUCCCUGAUAUUCGCUGGCGUCUCCCUGCGUGUUCUGAACCUAUGCUGACCAGCACCAGAAGGGUUCAGAGGGGUGAUUUCUUGCCUUGGGAUGAGAGAGCAAUGUUAGGGAUGACCAGCAGAGGGCGUGCAACAUCAGGUUCUAGAGGCAAGCGUCCAAGAGCCCACCUGUGAGCUAAAAAAAUUAAAGUUCUCGUUUUUGACACCAAAAAAAAAAAAAAAAAA